UUUGCCAUAUGCGUUUUUAUCCUAGAAAAAAAAAGUUACGGUCGCGUUGUCAUCGGUCUUUGCGGUCUGAUAAAUCGAUUUUAAAAGUUCGAAAAGCUAAACAGUUGACAACUAGGCAGUGGAAAAUUUACGUCGCUGACGGGAGCAGAUAGAAUAAUCACGUUGGUGCAUAGAAGAUACACCGGGCAAAGCCGGCCGUACGUGAGAAAACAGGCUAUUUUAUUUCAACCCUUAAACCUAACUUCUUCUCGGAAAAACGGAAGUACUAGUAACGAGGCUAGGUGUCUGGAUAGGUCUUGCUUCAAGAAGCAAGCAUAUGAAUGUGCCUUCUGUUGCAAGAGUAUUUGUGGAACGCGGGGCUGACGAGUUCUAUUUUGAUGAUGACCGGCCAACGGCGACAAGAGGCAGUAGCGGCCAUGACAGGCAACACCUAUCUUAUUUUGACCAUAUCGUUCGGACACUGACGAGCAGAAAUGUUUCGUAACGUACCGGCACCAUACUGUGCAUACAACGAAUGCUGUGCGUCGUCCAUUGUCUCAAACAGCAGUUUACAUGAGCGAGAUACCGUCAGUCCUGCCGCUACCGAAGGCCAACACGAAAUACCAUCCCACGAACUCGGACAGCGUAGGAGGACAUCACCUUUAACACAAUCAAAGGUAACAAGAAAGAAAAGCUGUUGGAGCGGUACGUGUAGCGCGUACAGAUUAUCAUGCCCAACUGGAGAAAAACCAA